ACGAACGCAUGGCGGCGUGGAUAAGACAUGCAAGUCGAGCGGGAAUAUUCAGGGUAGCAAUAUUCUGGAUGUUCAGCGGCGCAAGGGUGCGUAACACGUGGGUAAUCUGCCGUGAAGCCUGGAAAAUAACUCGCUGAAAAGGGCGAGCUAAUACCGGAUGUGAAGUUUGGAAGGCAUCUUUUUGGACUUCAAAGCUGGGGACCGUAAGGCCUGGCACUUCACGAUGAGCCCGCGGCCUAUCAGCUAGUUGGUGAGGGUAACGGCUCACCAAGGCUAAGACGGGUAGCUGGUCUGAGAGGACGACUAGCCCACACUGGAAACUGAGACAACGGUCCCAGACACCUACGGGGUGGCAGCAGUCGAGAAUUUUUCACAAUGGGGCGAAAGCCUGAUGGAGCGACGCGCCGCGUGGGGGAUUGAAUGGCUUCGGCCCGUAAAACCCCUGUCAUUUUGCGAACAAGUUGUUUCACCUAACACGUGAAACAUUGAUAGUAGCGAAAGAGGAAGGGACGGGCUAACUCUGUGCCAGCAGCCGCGGUAAAUACAGAGGUCCCGAGCGUUGUUCGGAUUCACUGGGCGUAAAGGGUGCGUAGGCGGGUCGGGUAAGUCUGACGUGAAAUCUUCAAGCUCAACUUGGAAAACUGCGUCGGGAUACUAUUCGGCUAGAGGAAUGGAGGGGAGACUGGAAUACUUGUGUUGUAGCAGUGAAAUGCGUAGAUAUCAAGUGGAAACCACCAGUGGCGAAGGCGAGUCUCUGGACAUUUCCUGACGCUGAGGCACGAAAGCCAGGGGAGCAAACGGGAUUAGAUACCCCGGUAGUCCUGGCCCUAAACGGUGCGCGUUUUGCUGUAAGGGGAAUCGACCCCCCUUUUGUGGCGAAAGCUAACGCGUUAAAACGUGCCGCCUGGGAAAGUACGGCCGCAAGGUAUAAAACUCAAAGAAGAAUUGACGGGGGGCCUGCACAAGCGGUGGAGUAUGUUGGCUUAAUUCGAUGCAACGCGAAGAACCUUACCUGGCCUUGACAUGCACAUAGUAGAAGCCUGAAAGGGUUGACGAGGGUAGCAAUACCAGUGUGCACAGGUGCUGCAUGGCUGUCGUCAGCUCGUGUCGUGAGAUGUUGGGUUAAGUCCCGCAACGAGCGCAACCCCCUGUGUCCUGUUGCCACCCCCUUAACUGGGAGCCCUCUGGACAGACUUGCCUCGCUUCACACGAGGAGGAAGGUGGGGAUGAUGACGUCAAGUCAGUAUGGGCCCUUACGGCCAGGGCUGCACACGUACUACAAUGCCCGGCACAAAGGGAAGCAAGAACCGUCAGGUGGAGCAAAUCCCAGAAAAACCGGGCCCAGUUCAGAUUGUCGUCUGCAAACUCGACGGCAUGAAGCUGGAAUCGCUAGUAAUGGCGCAUCAAGCUACGGCGCCGUGAAUACGUUCCCAGGCCUUGUACACACCGCCCGUCCACAUCAUGAAAGAGGCCGCUUGUACCCGAAGUCGCCCCUCAAAAGGUGCCGAAGGUAUGGGUGGUGAUUGGGAUG
rnacentral:rRNA from 1 species